CCCUACGGGGCGCAGCAGUGAGGAAUAUUGGUCAAUGGGCGCGAGCCUGAACCAGCCAAGUCGCGUGAGGGAAGACGGUCCUAUGGAUUGUAAACCUCUUUUGUCGGGGAGCAAAAGACGCCACGCGUGGCGUUCCGAGAGUACCCGAAGAAAAAGCAUCGGCUAACUCCGUGCCAGCAGCCGCGGUAAUACGGAGGAUGCGAGCGUUAUCCGGAUUUAUUGGGUUUAAAGGGUGCGCAGGCGGCGAGUUAAGUCAGCGGUAAAAUUUCGGGGCUCAACCCCGACGAGCCGUUGAAACUGGCUUG
rnacentral:rRNA from 1 species